AUCGGGGGAGAAGGGCCAUGGUCAGGGAGGUGACCAAUGGUCACUGACAGAGUUCUAGAGUUCCCUGUGGAGAUGGGAGAACCUUACAAAAGGACAACCAUCUCUGCAGCACUCCACCAAUCAGGCCUUUGUGGUAGAUUGGCCAGAUGGAAGCCACUUCUCAGUAAAAGUCACAUGACAGCCCAUUUGGAGUUUUCCAAAAGGCACCUUAAGACACCAGUCUAUAUACGGUCCCACAGUUGACAGUGCAUUUCAGAGCAAAAACCAAGCCAUGAGGUCGAAGGAAUUGUCCGUAGAGCACCGUGACAGGAUUGUGUAAUACUUAUAUAAAUGUAAUAUUUCCCUUAAAUUCUUUAAAUACAUUUGAUAAAAUGUCUAUGAACCUGUUUUUGAUUUGUCAUUGUGGGGUAUUUUGUGUAGAUUGACGAGGGCAAAAAAAAAGGUAAUACAUUUUUGAAUAAGGCUGUAACAUAACAAAAUGUGGAAAAAGUUAAGAAUGCGUUCCGAAUGCACUGUACACAUAAUGCCAGCCAGUAAAUCAAUUAUUUAUCUAAUAAAAGCAGAAUCUAAUUAAUGUAAUUAAUGUUAAUAAGCUAACCCUAUUGUUAAGGCCAGACAUUUUUGUCAUAUGAUAGUGGUAUUUGGUCAUAUGAUUAUGGCAGGGGUCAAAGGCAGGCAGUAGAGAGAGUGGACAGAGAGAGAGCAUCGACCAUGCUGAGGCAGGGAGAGGACAAACGGGUCAUCAUCAACUCCUCAUCUUUGCCGACUGUAGCCCAAGUGCUAUAACACAUGUUGUUGCCUACAUUCUGAUUUCAUUUGGUUGUCAUGGCAGGGGUCAGAGAUAGGCAGUAGUGUGACGGCCUUGAAUUUGUCUGAACCGUCUCAGUGCUUCUCCUUCCAAUAGGGCGGUUCCCCUUUUAAUUCCCUAUUAAAUAGCCAGCAUCAGCUAAGCAAAAGUGGGGUUGUGAUGGUGGUGCAAAUGAGGAUGUGUUCAACCCUCAGUUCCGAAGCUUUUUUACUCUGUUUUGUUCUAUUUCAAAGAGUGCUUUGUAGCCUUGUCUCAAGUUUAACCACCAGGAUCGGAUCCAUUCACAUCUCAGUUGGUCUCCGCUGUUUCUUCAUGGCCUUUCUCAGCUGGAAAGGCUGAUUGGAUUGUCUGACUGACCGACUGACUACAACUUACUUGCAUAUGGCACAACCUACCUGGCACCCUACAAACAAUAACCUCAAGUCAAAACCGUUACAGUAGAGGGAACGAGAGCACUGCCCAUGUUGAUGUAGGGAGAGGACAAACAGGUCAUCAGAUGGAUACCGUUCCCCUACCCGUGGUGUUGGUUGAGGCUGCUUUGGGAGGAGGAUGCAUCAACAACCUGGAAAGAUGUUAGCGAUGCACUCCCUCAUAACACUUUUUUUUGAGUGAUAAAUGAAGUGUAUAGUCUUCAAGCUUGAAAAGGACGCUAUGUAAAUGCAUGUAUUAUUCUGAUAAAUUAAUACAUUCAUUCUUUGUAACAUUUAGAUCUCUCAUUGCUUUAAACUAGUAGCGAGCUCAUCUUAAUCAGUGUUGUUAAUUCUCCCUUUCUUUCCAGAAGCAAUCGGUUACAAUGCACCUGGUCACGGUCAAGGUUUCUUGCAUGCAUAGAUUUGUUAACAAUAAUUAAUUUAGGAAAAUAAUAUGAAUUCCCAUACUAGGCAUAAAUACAUUUUAUGUUGCAUUUCUUCCACCCAAGCCUUGUACACCUGAGUCAGGAAGAAGAGACAACUAGUAUUUUACAUUUAGCAGAUGCUCUUAUCCAGAGCUAUUUACAGUAUUGAGUGCAUACAUUUUCAUACUGGUCCCACGUGGAAAUCAAACCCACAUCCCUGGCAAUGCAAGAGACAUGCUCUAGCAACUGAGCCACACAGGACAACUAAACUCAGCAAAAAAAGAAACGUCCUCCACUGUCAACUGCAUUUAUUUUCAGC